CGCACGUUAUCAGGAGUGCGUUCAGAAUAAACGUCCGGGUGCAACCAGGUAUCACUUUCUUCUUGUUUAAUAUUCAAUAAACAAGAAGAAUAAAAUGAUCUCUGGGUGCACCCGGACGUUCGUUCUGAACGCAGUCCAGCGCUCUCUCCAAAGCCAGCUAGGGUGUCCUAAAAUGUACAAAUCAAAACAUUAUAGCAAGAAAGUUCUUGAAAAAUUAAGUAAAAUAUUAUUAUUUGUACAGUUUUAUUUCAUGCUGUAGAUACAACGAAGCUAGUCAAUCGCAGACCUUAGACGAUUGCGCGUCAUGCAGUUAUAAAUAUUAUCGAGUGACUCACGGAGUGUCUAAACGUAAUACUUUGCAAGUUGGUCUCUCGCUACCCUCUCUCUGUACUUCAUCUUCCUACUGCACAAACGCCAUUAAAAGAUAUGCAGAACUGCGUGCAUCUCCAGAGUGAGGAAACAGCAUCUAUAACUGAGAAAAUAAGUGGGACGUAGAGGUAGCACGCUAACCCACAAGUGGAACCCACGAACUUGCAGUAUCUUUGCGUAGCAUUUCCGUACAUCCCCCAUCCUCUUAAGAGAUUAGGGGUUCAGGACUACGCACUUCCCGGAACGUCUUCGAAGCAGCCUCUGUAAUUGAGAAAGAAACAAUAAGAUCGUCGUCGCGCGAGUCUUUCCAAAAAUCGCGUUCUGUUCUGGCACGUUGUUGCCUGUCACGCUGUACGUGGGUAGCCAUCCUGUGUCUUUGUUUCGCCGAACGCAAAGCCUCUCUCGCGUACGCUUGGA